UUUACAAAUAAUUACUUAAUUUCUUGGAAUAAUUAAGUCAAGAACUUAAAAGAUGACAGACAGCCCGCAGUAUUUAUGAUUGAAAAGCUUUUAAAGAUAAGAACUUUGUUUCAUUUAAGCGUGUGAAACUUCAGUCAAAAAAUGAAAUUGACAAUAUUCGGGUGUGGUGUGUUAUUUUUUCUUAUCACUUUUUGUAUGGGAUUCAUUUGUAAUGCUGCCGAAAUAAGAAUUUUUCAAAAAUUUAACAGAACUAUUGGAGGCAAAAGUAUUUUAUUUGUACCACCUAGAUGUAAGCUUGAUGCUGGAGGCCGGUGCCGUGAGAAACUUGGAUGAGAGGAAUAGAUAAGGAAACGUUAUAAGUUGAUUUGACUUCAAAAAACAAAAACAGUAUAAAUCGGAAUUAAUAUGGAUGUACAAUGUACAUAAUGUGAGGAGUAAAAUACGAUGCUAGUUUUGUAGUUUAUAAAAAUAAAAAUAAAAAU